GGUGAAAAGCACCCCGGAAGGGGAGUGAAAUAGAACCUGAAACCGUGUGCUUACAAGUAGUCAGAGCCCGUUAAUGGGUGAUGGCGUGCCUUUUGUAGAAUGAACCGGCGAGUUACGAUUUGAUGCAAGGUUAAGCAGUAAAUGUGGAGCCGUAGCGAAAGCGAGUCUGAAUAGGGCGUUUAGUAUUUGGUCGUAGACCCGAAACCAGGUGAUCUACCCUUGGUCAGGUUGAAGUUCAGGUAACACUGAAUGGAGGACCGAACCGACUUACGUUGAAAAGUGAGCGGAUGAACUGAGGGUAGCGGAGAAAUUCCAAUCGAACCUGGAGAUAGCUGGUUCUCUCCGAAAUAGCUUUAGGGCUAGCCUCAAGUGAUGAUUAUUGGAGGUAGAGCACUGUUUGGACGAGGGGCCCCUCUCGGGUUACCGAAUUCAGACAAACUCCGAAUGCCAAUUAAUUUAACUUGGGAGUCAGAACAUGGGUGAUAAGGUCCGUGUUCGAAAGGGAAACAGCCCAGACCACCAGCUAAGGUCCCAAAAUAUAUGUUAAGUGGAAAAGGAUGUGGCGUUGCCCAGACAACUAGGAUGUUGGCUUAGAAGCAGCCAUCAUUUAAAGAGUGCGUAAUAGCUCACUAGUCGAGUGACACUGCGCCGAAAAUGUACCGGGGCUAAACAUAUUACCGAAGCUGUGGAUUGUCCUUUGGACAAUGGUAGGAGAGCGUUCUAAGGGCGUUGAAGCAUGAUCGUAAGGACAUGUGGAGCGCUUAGAAGUGAGAAUGCCGGUGUGAGUAGCGAAAGACGGGUGAGAAUCCCGUCCACCGAUUGACUAAGGUUUCCAGAGGAAGGCUCGUCCGCUCUGGGUUAGUCGGGUCCUAAGCUGAGGCCGACAGGCGUAGGCGAUGGAUAACAGGUUGAUAUUCCUGUACCACCUAUAAUCGUUUUAAUCGAUGGGGGGACGCAGUAGGAUAGGCGAAGCGUGCGAUUGGAUUGCACGUCUAAGCAGUAAGGCUGAGUAUUAGGCAAAUCCGGUACUCAUUAAGGCUGAGCUGUGAUGGGGAGAAGACAUUGUGUCUUCGAGUCGUUGAUUUCACACUGCCGAGAAAAGCCUCUAGAUAGAAAAUAGGUGCCCGUACCGCAAACCGACACAGGUAGUCAAGAUGAGAAUUCUAAGGUGAGCGAGCGAACUCUCGUUAAGGAACUCGGCAAAAUGACCCCGUAACUUCGGGAGAAGGGGUGCUCUUUAGGGUUAACGCCCAGAAGAGCCGCAGUGAAUAGGCCCAAGCGACUGUUUAUCAAAAACACAGGUCUCUGCUAAACCGUAAGGUGAUGUAUAGGGGCUGACGCCUGCCCGGUGCUGGAAGGUUAAGAGGAGUGGUUAGCUUCUGCGAAGCUACGAAUCGAAGCCCCAGUAAACGGCGGCCGUAACUAUAACGGUCCUAAGGUAGCGAAAUUCCUUGUCGGGUAAGUUCCGACCCGCACGAAAGGCGUAACGAUUUGGGCACUGUCUCAACGAGAGACUCGGUGAAAUCAUAGUACCUGUGAAGAUGCAGGUUACCCGCGACAGGACGGAAAGACCCCGUGGAGCUUUACUGUAGCCUGAUAUUGAAAUUCGGCACAGCUUGUACAGGAUAGGUAGGAGCCUUUGAAACGUGAGCGCUAGCUUACGUGGAGGCGCUGGUGGGAUACUACCCUAGCUGUGUU
rnacentral:rRNA from 1 species